rnacentral:rRNA from 1 species
CCUACGGGAGGCAGCAGUGGGGAAUAUUGCACAAUGGGCGCAAGCCUGAUGCAGCCAUGCCGCGUGUGUGAAGAAGGCCUUCGGGUUGUAAAGCACUUUCAGCGGGGAGGAAGGCGUUAAGGUUAAUAACCUUGGCGAUUGACGUUACCCGCAGGAGAAGCACCGGCUAACUCCGUGCCAGCAGCCGCGGUAAUACGGAGGGUGCAAGCGUUAAUCGGAAUUACUGGGCGUAAAGCGCACGCAGGCGGUCUGUCAAGUCGGAUGUGAAAGCCCCGGGCUCAACCUGGGAACUGCAUUCGAAACUGGCAGGCUAGAGUCUUGUAGAGGGGGGUAGAAUUCCAGGUGUAGCGGUGAAAUGCGUAGAGAUCUGGAGGAAUACCGGUGGCGAAGGCGGCCCCCUGGACAAAGACUGACGCUCAGGUGCGAAAGCGUGGGGAGCAAACAGGAUUAGAUACCCCUGUAGUC